rnacentral:rRNA from 1 species
AUGGACGUGCUUUACGUCCAGGCGCUUGUGAUGGCGGCGGUGGCCGUGGCGCUGCUACAGCUGCUGAAAGUGGCCCUGAACCCGAUGAGGGAGAGGGCGCCGCCAGGGCCGUGGAAGCUGCCAGUGAUCGGCAGCAUGCACCACCUGAUGAACGUUCUGCCGCACCGCAAGCUGCGGGACCUUGCCGACGCGCACGGCCCGCUGAUGAUGCUGCAGCUUGGACAGACGCCGCUGGUGGUGGCUUCGUCCAAGGAGACGGCGCGGCUAGUGCUCAAGACUCACGACAGCAACUUCGCCACGCGGCCCAAGCUCCUCGCCGGCGAGAUCGUCGGCUACGAGUGGGCUGACAUCCUCUUCUCCCCAUCCGGUGACUACUGGCGCAAGCUCCGCCAUCUCUGCACCACCGAGAUUCUCAGCCCCAAACGCGUGCGCUCCUUCCGCCACAUAAGGGAGGACGAGGUGAGGAUGCGGGUGGACCAGAUCCGCCAGGCGGGGCCGUCGGCGCCGGUGAACCUGAGCGUGAUGUUUCACAAUGUGACCAACAGCAUCGUUGCGCGGGCAGCGUUCGGGAAGAAGCACAAGAACGCGGCGGAGUUCCAGGCCGCCAUCAAGUCCGGUGUGGGCCUGGCGAGCGGCUUCAACAUCCCCGACCUCUUCCCGACGUGGACCACUGUGCUGGCCAAGCUCACCGGCAUGAAGCGCAGCCUCCAGAGCAUCCACAAGACGGUGGACGCCAUCCUGCAGGAGAUCAUCGACGAGAGGAAGGCCGCCCGCAUCGAGAAGAUCAAGGCCGGCGCCGAGAACGUGGACGAGAACCUCGUGGACGUGCUUAUCGGCCUGCAGGAGAAAGGCGGCUUCGGGUUCCACCUGGACAACAGCAGGAUGAAGGCCAUCAUCCUGGACAUGUUCGGGGGCGGGACGGGAACAUCAGCUCCGACAUCUUGCUGCUGCUGA